rnacentral:rRNA from 1 species
UACGUAGGGUGCGAGCGUUAAUCGGAAUUACUGGGCGUAAAGCGUGCGCAGGCGGUGGUGCAAGACAGAUGUGAAAUCCCCGGGCUCAACCUGGGAACUGCAUUUGUGACUGCACGGCUGGAGUGCGGCAGAGGGGGAUGGAAUUCCGCGUGUAGCAGUGAAAUGCGUAGAUAUGCGGAGGAACACCGAUGGCGAAGGCAAUCCCCUGGACCUGUACUGACGCUCAUGCACGAAAGCGUGGGGAGCAAACAGG